rnacentral:rRNA from 1 species
UACGGGGGGGGGCAAGCGUUGUUCGGAAUUACUGGGCGUAAAGGGCGCGUAGGCGGCCUGCUAAGUCGGACGUGAAAUCCCUCGGCUUAACCGAGGAACUGCAUCCGAUACUGGCGGGCUUGAAUCCGGGAGAGGGAUGUGGAAUUCCAGGUGUAGCGGUGAAAUGCGUAGAUAUCUGGAGGAACACCGGUGGCGAAGGCGGCAUCCUGGACCGGUAUUGACGCUGAGGCGCGAAAGCUAGGGGAGCAAACGGG